UACGUAGGGCGCAAGCGUUGUCCGGAAUUAUUGGGCGUAAAGAGCUCGUAGGCGGCUUGGCAAGUCGGGUGUGAAAUCCCGGGGCUCAACCCCGGGACUGCAUUCGAUACUGUCAGGCUAGAGGUAGGUAGGGGAGAUCGGAAUUCCUGGUGUAGCGGUGAAAUGCGCAGAUAUCAGGAGGAACACCGGUGGCGAAGGCGGAUCUCUGGGCCUUACCUGACGCUCAGGCGCGAAAGCUAGGGGAGCGAACAGG
rnacentral:rRNA from 1 species